GUGGGGAAUAUUGGACAAUGGGCGAAAGCCUGAUCCAGCCAUGCCGCGUGUGUGAAGAAGGCCUUUUGGUUGUAAAGCACUUUAAGCGAGGAGGAGGCUACCUGGAUUAAUACUCUGGGAUAGUGGACGUUACUCGCAGAAUAAGCACCGGCUAACUCUGUGCCAGCAGCCGCGGUAAUACAGAGGGUGCGAGCGUUAAUCGGAUUUACUGGGCGUAAAGCGUGCGUAGGCGGCUUUUUAAGUCGGAUGUGAAAUCCCUGAGCUUAACUUAGGAAUUGCAUUCGAUACUGGGAAGCUAGAGUAUGGGAGAGGAUGGUAGAAUUCCAGGUGUAGCGGUGAAAUGCGUAGAGAUCUGGAGGAAUACCGAUGGCGAAGGCAGCCAUCUGGCCUAAUACUGACGCUGAGGUACGAAAGCAUGGGGAGCAAACAGGAUUAGAUACCCCAGUAGUCC
rnacentral:rRNA from 1 species